GAAAUACACAACUAUGCACUGGGGGGAUUUGGGGAGGAAAAAAAGCAGAAAAAAAAAGAAAAUAAUACAUCACAACAAGGCAUAUUUAUGUAUCCUCCUGAUUAUCUAAACAAGGAAAUAUUUUAGAAAAUUGGAAAACUAUUGCUCAACAUAUCUGUAUACUUCAAUUAGAGUUUUUCCAAACAUGGGAUGACCCUAUAUUGUUAGUGACUUUUUCACUUAAUAUGAGUAAAUAUCCCUGCCUUUUAAUAUUUUUGAAAAUAUAAUUUUAAUGGUUUUAUGGUUACACAGCAUCCCUUACGAUAAAUGGUACAUAUCUCGUAUGAAUGACCUGCUUCUACAGUUCCUGCUGCCAUCCUCUUCCACCAAUCAUAUCUGUUACUCCCGAAAGUGAGUCACUUGAUAACAGCUCCAGACUGCGUCCUAAUCUGGCAUCAUUUCCUGAACUUCCAGAGACUUUCAUUUUAACCCUUCUCUCUUAGGACAGCAGGCAGUUCACACCACGUCUCCUACCCUCCUUUAGAUUGGGAACUCCUCCCAGGCCAAGAUGGUGCUCAGUCAGUUUCAGUCUCCUCUCAGCACAGAGCCAGGCAUAUGGCAAAUACUCAAUAAAGAUUUGAAAAACACCAUAAAUCUGAACAAGUUACUCACUGCUGCGGAAAACUUUAAUUGUCUAUGAAAAUCCCUUCUCCCCUUCUUGGGGCACACAGCUGGAAUAUUUCCCAGCCUCCCUUGAGGCCAUAUGACCAUGUCUUUGCCAACGGAAGAGGAAUGAAAGGGAUGUGUGCCAUACCAGACCUGGCUUGUUAUAACCUCCCACAUGCCUUCCUCCUUGUUCUUUCUCCUUUGCUGAUGGAUGCAGAUGGGCAUGAGGUCAUCAGGAUGGAGAAGGCAUGUGAUGGAAGAACUCUGGGCUCCUGAAUGACCACAUGAGGGAGCGCAAUCUCCCCAACAUGAAGACUCACCCAGCACUGUGAUGUGGGAAAAUAUAUAUGCUACUAAAAUUGGGGGAGUUAUUUGUAAUUCAGCAUAAACUAAUACAUGCACAAAAAUUUUAAUCCAAGGAGCAACUUAAAUAUGCAUCAAUCCAGUACAUUUAAAUUGAAGUCAAUUCAGAUGUGGACAUGGGAGGACCCUGCUUCAGGCCAGGCAGAAAGGAAACAGGCAAGCAAGCAGAAGGUCCCCCUUCAGCUGCUGAAAUGGAGAAUGCUGUAUCCUGAGGUUAGAAUACUAAGGUCCGUUUCAUUAAGUGGUUUUUCUUUUAAAGAAAAUACAUGCUGUUAUGGACGAUUGAAGUUUUGGGAAUUGUAUUUCUUAGUCGGCUUUACUUUGGACAGAACUCUCCAUUUAUAUAUAGAACUGGUUUUUUAAAAAGCCCCUGGCUUUAUAUAGAAUGGCUACUCAUCAGCUUCUGACAUUCCAUGCCAAGGUUCAAAGCCCUCUCCUAGGGCUUCUUUGGAAAUUAGAAACCCUAAGAUGUUAGGAAGCUCUUGCCCUUCCCUCCCUAUGUGAGGGUUAUUCUCUUCUGGACAUCCAGAACAUGAGAACUGACACACGCAUGCACACACACACACACGUGUAUGCACACACACAAACACAUACACUGACAUUAGGUAAAAACUAUGAGUGGAGCCAAAAGAGGAGCAGACACAGGGGAGGUGACAAGAGGGAGAAAAAAGAAGUUGGAGGCACUACAAACAUGUGCCACCACCUGUCCAAUUUCAUAGGUAUUAUCUCACAUAUGCCUGAGGACAUACCUAGAAGUCCAUGCUAGAAUAAUCCCCAUUGUGCAUGUGGGGAGACUGACAGCCCCUGAGAGACAGAAUGACUUAUCCAGGAUCAAGAACAGGUAAGAAUGAGGAGUUGAGUCUGAACUUAGGUCUGUCUCCUUAAACCUGGGACCCUGGCUGCACCCAGACCUUCCCAGGGCCCCGUGGAGAGGGUGUAUUGGUGUAACUGCACAGAUAGGGUGUUGCAUGGAGAUGGGGGGUGAGCAGUAGCAGCCCAGAGGGCUGUUUGGAUAGAUGUUGUCUGAGAAGGGGACUCAGGAAGAGAGCCCAAAGUGAAGUCACUUCCUUGACAAUAGACCCCCACAGAACUUGGAACCCCUGUAACCAGGCGCCCACAUUCCAGUGACAGCCCCAUACCCAGCCCACUUGGCCAGACACUUCACUUACAAAUAUGUUCUCCCGCUGUGUCCUCACUUAACGGGGCUCUUGUUUUGGGACAGCCUGGAGUGAGAGCCUUUUCGGAAGCUGCAGACAUUUGUUCAACCCUCACUCGACCCAGACACCUCUGGCCAUUUGACAGGAGGUCCCCUAAGAGCUCCACCCAGGAGACGGGACAGGAGCUGAUCAGUGGGGUCCUCUACUGCAUCUGCCUGCAGGGGAGCAGGUGCCCCACACCAGCCACAGAGUCCGGCGCUGGCUCAUGGGUGAAAAUGUGUCCACAGUGAAAUGGAAGAGACCCGCAUGGUGUGGACCGUCCAGGGAGGCAGGCCAGAAAAGCAAGUGGAGCACCUGGUGUUCGCCUUCCUGGGCAGUGACCCCUCAUACGUGCCCACCCUCCUGGGCACCUGCAGAGCUUCUGCCAACACCCAACAGCACUCGACCUGCUGUUCAAAGGUGAGCACUAUGUCCGUCCACGAGACAGUGGUGUUUUGGUGACUUACUAGCUGUGAGACUUCAGAAUGUCACUGCCCCUCUCUGAGCCUCAGUUUGCUCCUGUGAACCUUGGAGUGAAUAGAGCACCAACCUCAUAGGGUUAUUUUCAAGACUAAGUGGGUCCACCAUGGAAAGUGCUGUCCGGGUGCCUGGCCCUGGGGCAAGAACUGCUGCAGGGCCAUGUUUGUGCUAAUUUAUCAUUUCCCUCAUGCCAUGACGAAGCCUCUGCCUCAUUCAUCACUGUUCUUGUAGCCUUGGGCUAAAGUGUUUUCCCAUUGGAAAAUGAGAUUUGAGAUUCCAUUAGUGGUUCCUUUUCAUGGGUAAAGUCUGAGGAGGGAUCCUUGGGGGUGAGCAGGGAGGCCACAGGCCCACUCAUAUAUCCAUGAUGGGGCUGGUUGGGGCUCAUUCAUUUAUCAAACAUAUAGGAAGCCCCACUAGGUGCAGGCACUUAUCUCGGUAUGACCAUAAUCCAGCGCACAGAGCAGACAAGUCCUGCCUCUCAGGGCUUCCAUUCUAGUCGGGAGUCAGAAUGUCACACUAGACAUCACAAGAAGGUAGUGUCCACACUACAGCCGAUCUAAUGUCCUCCUGGCCUCCUCUAGAUGGAUGCAUCCUCCCUCAUUCUGAUGAGGAUGGCAGUCACUAGUAUCAAUUAAAAAUGUGAAUGGGCUUUGAUUUAAGAAGGAGCAACUCCCUUUUCCAAAGAACUGUGUAGAGAUGUGGGGUUCUGUGGAUGAGGAGGGGAUGGCAGAGCCCUGGAUCCAACAUCUUAUGAUUCUUGCUUGAGGGCAGAAGUCUGAGCGCUUCUCCUGGCAAAAAGGAAAGGAGUCAGAGAGAGCUACAGAUGGGGCUGUGGAUGCUGUGAGGAAUAGAGGGGAGGUCAGAGGACAGAGUCAGCCCUGGAAAUAGCCCUUCCCCAUUCCAGCCCUGCCUCCAUCCCCAUCCUGGGACCCAGAACAGGAGGUGUGGAGAGCAUCCUGCUCAUGAAUCUGGUGGAACCUCAACAGCGGGGGCUCGGCUGGUGCUCAGGGGACUCACUGAGGGCUCUGGGGCUGGCUGAACCCACACUGUGGGAGAUGAGUGGCAGUGGCAGGAGGAGACCCACAUGGAGCAUUUAGAGAAUUAGGCAGAUAUAGGUGAAGGAGGUAAGUUUGAGGAACUGGGAGAGCCCUGGGAAUCCUGAGCAGGAGACAGAGUUCAUAUGUUCUUCAUCGGUCAGAUUUUCAUGGAGCACCUACUGUGUGCCAGUGAGUGCAAUGAACAGAGCAGACACUCCUCCUUGUCCUCAUGGAGUUGACAUCCCAGUGGGGAAGAGUCAGGGAGAUAGACAGAGGUGUGUGCCAGGCUUUCCCAAAGAAGUGGAGAAGUGGUCACAUCGAUGGAUCAAGGGCUCUCACUUAAGAAGGCUUUUUACCAGCCCCUCCUUGGUGACCAGGCCUGCCUCUGCCACAACUGCCAGAAUGGAGGUGGACAUGGAAUAAGGCUGGCCUCUGGGUGGGCAGGAGCAGAAGGCACAGAGGCCCAAGUCCCCAAAGGGAUGCCCUGGGAAGGGAGUGUGGAAGGAAACCAGGCCUCUGACUCAACUACCCCCAGGAUCAUCUCCUCAAUCCUGGGCACCUGACUGGACCAGGAUUUCCACCAGCCACCAGAAUUUCCCUGCCUGAAGAUGCUACUGGCCUACACUGGGCUCAACAUGCCGGCUCGGACCUGGAGCGCCAUGCCCACCCGCUUCUGGCACAACUAGAGCACCUUAAGCCCAUUGAGGGUGAGGAGGACUGAGGGUGAAGACUCAGGGUGGGCGAUGUGGGCUGUGGGGAGCGGUGGGGCUGGGUCACACAGAGCUGAGCCUCCGGAGGCUAGAGUUGGGUCAGGAGCAAUGAGUAGCCUCAGAUCACUAUUCCCACCCACUACAGUCUGGACCACUUCCUGGGGGUGGGUUCCUGGAAGAAGACUUCAUCGAUUGACAGAGAGAGGUUUCCUGUGUAUUUGGAGGGCACAUGGAAAGGCAGUCAUGUUCAUGAUAUUUUCUCCUCUUGGAGCUACAGUACCAGCUCCAGAGCAAGCUCUAGAACCACUUCAAGAGUUAGUGCCAGCUCCCAUUCUACUGCCCACUACAGUUCCAGAGCCAGAGCCAGCUCAAGCCACAGCUCUCAUUCAAUUCAAGAGCUCAAACAAGCAUAUAUGUCAGCUAUAAUUCCUGAGCCAGGGAGUGCUCAAGCCACAGCUGUCAUUCAAGCUCAAGAGCUAGAACAAGCACCUACAUAAGCUCCAAUUCCAGAGCCAGGAAAGGUUCAAGCAACACCUCCCACCUAAUGUCCAGAGCUAGAAGCAUCACGAAAACCUAUUCUAGUAUGAGCUCCAGAACUCCAGCAAGUUCCAUCAACAGCUCCAGCUCCAGAGCACAAGCCAACCACAGCAAGAGCACUACCGCCAGCUCUUGAGCCCCAUAGUGCUUUGGCACCAGCUCCAGUUCUAGAACUAAAGACAAUAACAGACCCCAUUCUCAAAGCAACACUGGUGCCAGAGCCAGUUCCUCCCCCAGUAUACUAGAGCUGGUACCAGCUCAGCAACCAGCGCCAGCUCCUGCAACGCCUCCAGGGCCCGAUCACAAGCUGCAACUCACACCAGCUGCAGCCCCAGAGACUUCCUUCCCCUCCCCUAUAAUUCCACUUUUUAAAUUUUUGUUUUUCCUUAUAUUUACUCAAUAUUUUACUAUAUUCUAUCAUAUAAAAUUCACAAAAUAAAAUUUAACUCUUUGAUCACUUUAAAUGGGACAUUAAGUACAUUCACAAUCUUGCAUAAUCCCCACUGCUGUCUAUUCCAGAACAUUUUCAUCAAAGAGAAGCCCCGUAUCUACUAGUCAGUCACUCCUCCUUCCUGUCAC